GUACAUUACUAUAUUAUUGCAAAAGACCCGGGCAACGCACGGACAGUAAACUAGUUUUCAGUAUAAACCCUCAGCUUUCAUCUCCAAUCUACUAAAUUUCGACCGCCAAAAAUGGCUGAAGAUAAAGUGUCACUGGAUUUGACUGAAGAAACUCUUCAGAGCAUGGAAGUCGGUAUGGCUUUUCGCGAUUAUAGUGGAAGAAUCAGUUCAAUGGACUUCCAUAAGACCUCAAGCUACUUGGUCACUGCUAGUGAUGAUGAAUCGAUCCGCUUGUAUGAUGUUGCCAACGCCACAUGUUUGAAAACAAUCAAUAGCAAGAAGUAUGGGGUUGAGCUCGUGUGCUUUACUUCUCAUCCAACAACAGUUAUCUACUCGUCAAAGAAUGGCUGGGAUGAGUCACUGCGGCUUCUCUCCUUGAAUGACAACAAAUAUUUGCGGUAUUUUAAAGGGCAUCAUGAUAGGGUAGUAUCUCUUAGCUUGUGUGCACGCAAUGAAUUAUUUAUAUCAGGUUCUCUGGACCGGACUGUUCUGCUAUGGGAUCAACGGGCUGAGAAAUGUCAGGGUCUUCUACGUGUCCAAGGAAGGCCUGCAACAGCUUAUGAUGAUCAAGGUUUAGUCUUUGCAAUUGCUUCUGGAGGAUAUAUAAGAAUGUUUGAUGCUCGUAAGUAUGAUAAGGGCCCUUUUGACAUAUAUUCUGUUGGGGGAGACUUCUCUGAUGCCAAUGUAGUCAAAUUCAGCAAUGACAGUAGGCUUAUGCUUUUAACAUCAACCAGUGGAUUUAUUCAUGUGCUGGAUGCAUUUCGUGGCACCCUUCUGUGCUCAUACAAUGUAAAACCAGUAUCUACCAAUUCGACCCUGGAGGCUUCAUUUAGCCCUGAGGGAAUGUUUGUCAUAUCAGGUUCAGGGGAUGGCAGUGUAUAUGCUUGGAGUGUCCGCAGCGGCAAAGAGGUGACAAGUUGGAUGAGUACUGAAAGAGAGUCUCCUGUCAUCAAAUGGGCACCAGGAAACGUCAUGUUUGCCACUGGAUCUUCUGAACUUUCUUUCUGGGUUCCUGAUUUGUCUAAACUGGGAACUUAUGGGGGAAGAAAAUAGCCAUGAGACAAAAUGCCUCUACAUGGAGAAAAUGGUCAUGAGACUACCCGUAAAAUGGAACUUAUGUUGGAAGACAACCAUGAGUGGAAUGGUCAAAGUUAAGGCCUUAUGCUUAUUAGACAUGCACCUUGUCUUGUCUACUCGAAAAGCAGCUUUCAGCAUAAAUCAUGAUUGAAUCUUGCCUUGUGUCCUUGCUCUGUAGUGAUUCUGCUUCAGCAACUUGUAUUUGGGACGCUCAGAUAGUCAGAUAGCAUCCUUUUGAAUCUUCUUGAGAGGGAGGUGAUGAUCGAUACUUUGGUUGCAUGCUGUUGGACUCCUGUCACUGCAGGAAGAAAUGUCCUUUCAUCCAUUCAGACCACUUCUCGGAAAGUUGGAGUUGACUCGUAUGUAACCCGUUGACUUGCACACGUGGCCAUCGGAAACCGACACGUAGCAAUUGCCUUGUUUUAAAAAAAAAAAUCCCAAACUUCCAUCCAAAAUCAAACUGCCCCAUUUCUUAACCUAAACCCAAAAAAAGAACUUGCGACCUUCUCUCUCCUCUACUAUCUUCCUCCUAGACGCCAUUAAUGCUUGGAAGGUGAAUCAUCAUCAAGUUUGCAAUAAGUUCAGCGAAUUGAUUCCCAGAAGGGUCAAAGAAAGGGUAAGAAGAAGGACGAAAGCAAAGACGUCAUUUUUUCUUUGAGGAGAGAAUAAACAAAACAAGGUUUAACGGUAGGAUCCCGGUAGAUUACCCCGUUUAUAAAUUGAUGGAACCGAUUAAUAUUAGGUUGUAUCACGGGGGUCGAUUUGUUACUAGGAAUGGUAAAACAACAUAUGAGAAAGGGGAUAGUGAGAAAUAUGGGUUGUCGUUGCACCCUAAUGUUAGUGAAGUGUGUUGCUUUGAGUUUGUUGGUUGGGUGAAGGGGGUUUAGGUUACGAGGAGGCUGGUCAGCUUUGGUAUCGGGAGUAUGGGCAUAGCUUGUUUAGUGGUAGGAAAGAGCUUAAGGAUGAUAACGAUAUUCCUGAAUUCUUGUUUUCUAGGGAACAAGAUGGGUGGUACCACUUGUAUGUUGUGCAUGAGCCUGUAAAACCCAAAAUGACUAGGUAUGGACCAAAUUUUGGGGGAGUGUAUACAGAUUCAGAAUCUGAUGGGGGGUCCUCAUUGGGUAGUUUCAUUAGUGUCUCAAAUGUUGGGGGUGAGUCAUCACAAAGGAGUUCUGCUAAUAAUGAGAGUGGUGAGUCAUCAAACCCUAGAUCUAAUUCCUCCAACCACAAAACACACUCCACACUUACUCCUCAAACACAUUCUGCUGCACUUCCUCCCUCACAAAAAAACCCUGUUGUCCUUAAUCCUCCACAAACCAACCCAGAAAAUAUCAACAACAACAACCACAUUUCUUUCUCAUCAAACACAGCUGCUUACAGGGAAAGAACACCUGUUUCUCUUGAACCUAUAGAAGAACAGGAAGAGUUUGAGUUCAGUGCAGAGAAGGGGCAGUGUGAGGAAGACAGUGAGGAAGACAAUGAUGUGGUCUUGAGUGAGGGAGAUUUUGAGGAUGACAGUAAUGAUGACUUGUUCACUGAUAAAUGGGCCUUGAUGUUUCUGAGAUUGUGGGUAGGAGUUUAGAGGGGGUUGAUAAUGUCUUUUGUUGUAAAGAUGAUUGAGAGGGAACAGAAGGAGGUUAGUAACAUGAGGUUGAUUCAAGCAGACUUGCAUGAGUUUGAGGUAGAUUAUGAUGGGGAUAGUUUUGUUGUGAAUUUGGAGACAAAAACUUGUGGAUGUUAUAGGUGGGACUUAAUGGGAAUACCUUGUUGGCAUGCACUAGCUUGUAUAGCCUAACGGAGGUUGAACUACGAAUAAUUUGUGCAUCCAUCAUACCAUGUGAAGACAUAUGCUGCAACCUAUGCACCCCACUUCUCCCCUAUGCCAGGAGAGAAACAGUGGGAGAAAUCACCCCUGCCACAACCACUGCCUCCACCCUUCAGAAUAAUGCCUGGAAGGCCUUCACAAAGAAAGAGAAAGAAGGAGGUUGGUGAAAAAAAAGGGGAAGCAGGUGAAAAGAGCAAGGAAGCGAAACAAUUGUGGGAGGUGUGGAGGUUUGGGACACAACAGAAAAAACUGCCAGAGGCCAGCUAAGCCUGUGCAAACUGCUUCUAAACCUAAGGGCAGGCCUAAAUCAGCAAAUACUUCAGCCACCACAGCAGUUCCAUCAGCUUCUGCUCCACAGCAACAACCAAGAGCAAGAACCACUGCCACCCCUGCAGCACAGUUAGCUCCAAGCUUAGCUCCAAAUUCAGCUCCAAAGCCUGCAAA